GAUCUGAAGUUCAUCUACGGCCGGUAUAUCGACAUCUCCUCAGAGGAGGAGAGAAACAUGUUUGAUAUUGUUUUGAUGAAAGAGGGGAGGAUGAAAGGUCAGGCCUUCAUUGGGCUCCCCAGCGAGAGAAGCGCAGAGAAGGCCUUAAAGGAAACCAAUGGAUAUGUACUCAACGACAAACCUCUUGUGGUGCAAUUCGCCCGAUCUGCAAAACCUAAACAGGAAUCUGCUGAUUCAAAGAAAGGAGGGAAAAAACACUGAACUGAUGAUGUUGAUGUUCAAUCAUGAGCCUACAGGAGCUCCAUCUUUACUUCAUAUCCUUUAAAAUAUCCUUUAAAAGAGUUAUUUGAAUUGCUUGCUUUAAUAAAAA